UUCCCGACACUCAUGGAAGAAGUGUGUGUUCAAGCUUAAAUAAGAGCCACAACCCUGCCAACACACAUUUUCUUCGAUCUACAAUGACUGCAGAGUUUCUUCCCUUUAGCAGUGUUAAAAGGUGCUUGUAUGUGUCAUUUGAGUCUUUGAGAAGUCUCUAUUCCACACAGGAGCUUGAUGGCGUCUCUGUG